rnacentral:rRNA from 1 species
CGAGCGAACAGACGAGGAGCUUGCUCCUCUGACGUUAGCGGCGGACGGGUGAGUAACACGUGGAUAACCUACCUAUAAGACUGGGAUAACUUCGGGAAACCGGAGCUAAUACCGGAUAAUAUAUUGAACCGCAUGGUUCAAUAGUGAAAGACGGUUUUGCUGUCACUUAUAGAUGGAUCCGCGCCGCAUUAGCUAGUUGGUAAGGUAACAGCUUACCAAGGCAACGAUGCGUAGCCGACCUGAGAGGGUGAUCGGCCACACUGGAACUGAGACACGGUCCAGACUCCUACGGGAGGCAGCAGUAGGGAAUCUUCCGCAAUGGGCGAAAGCCUGACGGAGCAACGCCGCGUGAGUGAUGAAGGUCUUCGGAUCGUAAAACUCUGUUAUUAGGGAAGAACAAAUGUGUAAGUAACUAUGCACGUCUUGACGGUACCUAAUCAGAAAGCCACGGCUAACUACGUGCCAGCAGCCGCGGUAAUACGUAGGUGGCAAGCGUUAUCCGGAAUUAUUGGGCGUAAAGCGCGCGUAGGCGGUUUUUUAAGUCUGAUGUGAAAGCCCACGGCUCAACCGUGGAGGGUCAUUGGAAACUGG